rnacentral:rRNA from 1 species
GCAAGUCGAGCGGAGAGAAGUAGCUUGCUACUGAUCUUAGCGGCGGACGGGUGAGUAAUACUUAGGAAUCUGGCUAUUAGUGGGGGACAACAUUUCGAAAGGGAUGCUAAUACCGCAUACGUCCUACGGGAGAAAGCAGGGGAUCAGUAAUGACCUUGCGCUAAUAGAUGAGCCUAAGUCGGAUUAGCUAGUUGGUGGGGUAAAGGCCUACCAAGGCGACGAUCUGUAGCGGGUCUGAGAGGAUGAUCCGCCACACUGGGACUGACACACGGCCCAGACUCCUACGGGAGGCAGCAGUGGGGAAUAUUGGACAAUGGGGGGAACCCUGAUCCAGCCGUGCCGCGUGUGUGAAGAAGGCCUUAUGGUUGUAAAGCACUUUAAGCGAGGAGGAGGGUACUGGUAUUAAUACUACCAGGUACUGGACGUUACUCGCAAAAUAAGCACCGGCUAACUCUGUGCCAGCAGCCGCGGUAAUACAGAGGGUGCGAGCGUUAAUCGGAUUUACUGGGCGUAAAGCGUGCGUACGCGGCUAAUUGAGUCGGAUGUGAAAUCCCCGAGCUUAACUUGGGAAUUGCAUUCGAUACUGGUUAGCUAGAGUG